GACGAACGCUGGCGGCGUGCUUAACACAUGCAAGUCGAACGGAAAGGCCCUGCUUGCCGGGUGCUCGAGUGGCGAACGGGUGAGUAACACGUGGGUGAUCUGCCCCUUACUUUGGGAUAAGCCUGGGAAACUGGGUCUAAUACUGGAUAGGACCAUGCUGUAGGUGGUGUGGUGGAAAGAUUAGUUUCGGUAAGGGAUGAGCUCGCGGCCUAUCAGCUUGUUGGUGGGGUAAUGGCCUGCCAAGGCGUCGACGGGUAGCCGGCCUGAGAGGGUGGACGGCCACAUUGGGACUGAGAUACGGCCCAGACUCCUACGGGAGGCAGCAGUGGGGAAUAUUGCACAAUGGGCGCAAGCCUGAUGCAGCGACGCCGCGUGGGGGAUGACGGCCUUCGGGUUGUAAACUCCUUUCAGCCAUGACGAAGCCCUUGUGGUGACGGUAGUGGUAGAAGAAGCACCGGCUAACUACGUG
rnacentral:rRNA from 1 species